rnacentral:lncRNA from 1 species
AGGUAGAUGGUAGUGGAGAGCGGAGGUACUGGGAGGUGGCAGUCGGGAUAUAGCCAAUGUGGGGAGGUGGGUAUUGCAGGAGGUCAUUGUCACUAGCCAAAUUGAUAAACAGAAUAUGAUUGAAGGAGGUGGAGGAGGUAGGCAACACAAGGAGGUGGGCAGCAUGAAGAGUCAUGGGUCGUAGGAGAUGGCUAGUGGUGGGGC